GGAUGAACGCUGGCGGCGUGCCUAAUACAUGCAAGUCGAGCGAACAGAUGAGGAGCUUGCUCCUCUGACGUUAGCGGCGGACGGGUGAGUAACACGUGGAUAACCUACCUAUAAGACUGGGAUAACUUCGGGAAACCGGAGCUAAUACCGGAUAAUAUAUUGAACCGCAUGGUUCAAUAGUGAAAGACGGUUUUGCUGUCACUUAUAGAUGGAUCCGCGCCGCAUUAGCUAGUUGGUAAGGUAACGGCUUACCAAGGCAACGAUGCGUAGCCGACCUGAGAGGGUGAUCGGCCACACUGGAACUGAGACACGGUCCAGACUCCUACGGGAGGCAGCAGUAGGGAAUCUUCCGCAAAGGGCGAAAGCCUGACGGAGCAACGCCGCGUGAGUGAUGAAGGUCUUCGGAUCGUAAAACUCUGUUAUUAGGGAAGAACAAAUGUGUAAGUAACUAUGCACGUCUUGACGGUACCUAAUCAGAAAGCCACGGCUAACUACGUG
rnacentral:rRNA from 1 species